GAUGAACGCUAGCUACAGGCUUAACACAUGCAAGUCGAGGGGCAGCAUGAACUUAGCUUGCUAAGUUUGAUGGCGACCGGCGCACGGGUGAGUAACACGUAUCCAACCUGCCGAUGACUCGGGGAUAGCCUUUCGAAAGAAAGAUUAAUACCCGAUGGCAUAGUUCUUCCGCAUGGUGGAACUAUUAAAGAAUUUCGGUCAUCGAUGGGGAUGCGUUCCAUUAGGUUGUUGGCGGGGUAACGGCCCACCAAGCCUUCGAUGGAUAGGGGUUCUGAGAGGAAGGUCCCCCACAUUGGAACUGAGACACGGUCCAAACUCCUACGGGAGGCAGCAGUGAGGAAUAUUGGUCAAUGGACGAGAGUCUGAACCAGCCAAGUAGCGUGAAGGAUGACUGCCCUAUGGGUUGUAAACUUCUUUUAUACGGGAAUAAAGUGAGGCACGUGUGCCUUUUUGUAUGUACCGUAUGAAUAAGGAUCG
rnacentral:rRNA from 1 species